rnacentral:rRNA from 1 species
GGGUUGUGAGGUUAAGCGACUAAGCGUACACGGUGGAUGCCCUGGCAGUCAGAGGCGAUGAAGGACGUGCUAAUCUGCGAUAAGCGCCGGUAAGGUGAUAUGAACCGUUAUAACCGGCGAUUUCCGAAUGGGGAAACCCAGUGUGACUCGUCACACUAUCAUUAACUGAAUCCAUAGGUUAAUGAGGCGAACCGGGGGAACUGAAACAUCUAAGUACCCCGAGGAAAAGAAAUCAACCGAGAUUCCCCCAGUAGCGGCGAGCGAACGGGGAGGAGCCCAGAGCCUGAAUCAGCAUGUGUGUUAGUGGAAGCGUCUGGAAAGGCGCGCGAUACAGGGUGACAGCCCCGUACACAAAAGCGCAUGUGCUGUGAGCUCGAUGAGUAGGGCGGGACACGUGGUAUCCUGUCUGAAUAUGGGGGGACCAUCCUCCAAGGCUAAAUACUCCUGACUGACCGAUAGUGAACCAGUACCGUGAGGGAAAGGCGAAAAGAACCCCGGCGAGGGGAGUGAAAAAGAACCUGAAACCGUGUACGUACAAGCAGUGGGAGCACAGGUUUACCUGUGUGACUGCG